rnacentral:rRNA from 1 species
UACGGAGGAUCCGAGCGUUAUCCGGAUUUAUUGGGUUUAAAGGGUGCGCAGGCGGGAGAUUAAGUCGGCGGUGAAAGUUUGCAGCUUAACUGUAAAAUUGCCGUUGAAACUGCCGGUCUUGAGUGCAAAUGAGGUAGGCGGAAUGCGUCGUGUAGCGGUGAAAUGCUUAGAUAUGACGCAGAACUCCGAUUGCGAAGGCAGCUUACUGGGAUGCAACUGACGCUGAGGCACGAAAGCGUGGGUAUCAAACAGGAUUAGAUACCCGGGUA